GGAUCUCUUUCUAGAGAUCCCUCCUUUUUGGAAUUUUUCACUGCAAGCCUGGCUCCUCAGAUACAGGUGCCUUCAUCAUGUGCCAUGCUUUAAUCCUUCUGCAGCUUCUUCUGGUGCUUCAGAGGAGAGCACUCCUUGGGAUAGAUGGGUUUGCUUUGAAUUUCCAGACUCUUGGGCCAGGCACGUGAUUGCCUUGUGAUCAUACAUGAGAGUACAGUUGUAGCUCUGAUCCAAUUCUGUAACAGUCCAAACCAGAUGAAUGAAACAAGAAACAGACAUAGGGGCAGGUUACUAUCAUAGCUUGGCACCUCCUCACCUGAAGCUUUUCAAGACUAGACAGAGCACAGCACACCUAUCCGGGACAUGGCAGAUAGUCCUGCUCUGAGACAGCGACGGAGUGCGCACCUCUUUCACCACAGCCGCAAGGGAGCGCCCAAACAGGGACCAUAACGAACAGGGACACAGAUAGGGGCAAGGAGGAACAGGGACCUGAAACUUAACCUGACUUGAAGACUACACGUUGAGAGAAACGAGGAGCAAUUUGUAAAACAGUGCGUUGAGACAAACGCUGCAACCUGAGGGUUCAUCGUCCUCAACAGCUCCGAUUGCCUUUCGCUGGACGAAGGUGUUCCUCCUGGGCUCUGUAUCAUGCACUGGCCAUGCAGAUGUGGAGCACAAGUAGAAAAACACCCUGCAGACCCUGACAAGAAUAAAAGCAAGAGAGAAUCUGUGAUGGGUGAGAAAGGAAAAGUGCACUUUGAAGCAGGGGACGCCCCGCUGGCUCUGCCUAUCGCACCCACCGCCAGCGUGUUCCCCAUCUCUCCUUUUGGUGGUUGCCAUCUCUCAGGUGUCAACUCUUAGGAUGGUGCAUUUCCUGUCUGCUCAUCUGGAAGAUCUGAAGAAAAAGCAUUAGGCUCCAGUGGCAAGAGUUGCACAUUGCUCCCAGGAAAAUGAAGUUUUCUCUUCCUCAGGACUCUCUGAAGUCUUCCUGGAAGUAAUAUUCUUACAUGGAGAUUGCUCUGGCACUGGCUGCUGUCUGAGCUCUGCAUUUAGUCCACAUGAAAGUGUCACAGCCCAAGGGCAUCUGUUCAAAGAGAUGUGGAGAAUUCUGGCUUCCCAGGAUCCUCCCCUGUGUCUGCCAUGCCAGGCUGCAUCAGAUAUGUGGUGCCUGGCAACAGUAAGAAGGCAAAAUGGGAAUGGUUCCCUUUGUACCAGUGACCUGAGAACAGUGGGCUGCAGUGUGGUACUGCUCCAGCUCUGUCAGAAUGCCAGAACUUUUCAUCUGCACUUUGAGGAAUCUGCUAAAACCAGAGCAAGAAACAAACAUCAGGAAUACUGGUAAGGCUGUUCUGCAUGAAACAGUGUCCUGCCACACACAGCAUUUCUGGGGCACCAGAUGCCUUGCAAGGAAGACCAGGAGCAAAGGCAGACAUGUCUUUAAUCACCUGUCAUCCCUCGAUCCCUGAUGGUGCUACCCAGAGGGCUGCCCCAGUCCCUCUGCUCCCCAGUCAUCACACCUCAGCCCAGCCUUGGAGGCAUUUAGUUGCAUGCUACAAUAAGCUGCCCCCAGCAGCCUCCUGAGCAGCUAUGCCUCUGUUUCUCUGCCAUUUGGCAGAGUCCAGUUAUCACAGGGUGGAGGAGAAUGAGGUGCUCUUAUGUGGGAGCAAGGUGAGUGAGAGCUCCUGCUUGAAGUGGGCUUGGGCUGUAGCAGGCCAGCCACAGGCUGGCUGGGAGCACUGUGGAAACAAAGAUACUUGAUUUAAAAAGCUGUGGGGAUAAGGAGUCUGUAACCACAACACAACCACAGGCACCUGAGCAUCAGGCUUCCAACAUCCAUGGAACACCAGAUGCUUUAGGGGAGACUUCUCCCAAGGCAAUAACUGUCCAAGGGGCAAUCUCACGUGAAGCACACCCUGGAUUUGAAGUACUUACUCUGCUCUCCAAGGAGGGGCCCGAUGAAAGGAUCACCACAAGGACCCAAUCAGGACAGGGUCCCAGGUAUUUACAUCGUGUCACCAAAAGAGGUGAUGGGAGAAAUCUGCAUCUCACCUGUGCUCGUUAGCCCCUCUCUUCCUACAGCACUACCUCCAGAACUACCCCAGGACUAGGCUGGAGCCAGUCCAGCCUUUUCUUUCUGCCAACCACAAAUUUAAAAACCAUAUCCUCCUUCCUAUCAUCCAGGACACUGGUGAAAACUCUGAGUAGAACUGGACCCAAGAAACCACUACAAGCUCUGCUUCCUAUGUUCUUCUCUAGCAACAAUUUGUACCCUGAGAUCUGCUCUCUCAGUAUGGUUUUUGAUCAUCCCAAUAGUGUUGUAUCCCAUUCCUCUAAUCUCUAAAGACUAUCUAUAUGGGACAAAGUCUAAAGCCAUUUUCAAGUCAAAAUAGCUGAUACCAACUCUCUUUUGCUGUCUGUUAAUCCUAGUGCAGAUAAAAAUUAGGUUGGCCUGUCAUAAUUUGUCUUGGAAAUAAACAAAAAAACCAAAAACAUGUUCAUAGCUUCUCAUCCCAUUAGCUCACAACAUACAGCCUGCAAUUUUAUUAAGGAUUGUUCUGUGUACUGAGCUACAUGUAGAACUCAUCAGUAACUGGGUCAAAAAAUAAGUCCAUCAGACAACAGAUGCCUAAGGAAAGCAUGUAAGGACAGGGAAGAGUAAAUUAUACUUCCUCCAACAUGCAGCCUCUGGCAGUUUUCAGCUUAGAUACUUCUGCAGCAAAAUGCAGUGUCUUUGUAUCUUGAGUCCUUAUUUUCCAUGAAUUUGUCUAAUCUCUAUGUGAAUGCAUAUAAAAUAUUAUCAUCCACAGUGUACUGUGGCAAAGAGUUCCACGGACAAAUAGUGUUGUGUGAACCACCUCUCUGUGUUAGGUUUGAAUCUUCCUUAUGGCAGUUCCAUCUGAUAUUCCCUGCCCCUUUUAUGUGAAGAUACCAUCAACAGAUAUUUCAUCCUUGCCCUCCCCAUGAUACCCGUGACUUUACGUAUCCAUAGGUCAUCUCUUGCCUUGUUUUAUAAUUGUUACUGGCAAAGAUGCCACUCAGCACCCUUGAUUAUCUUCAUUGGCCUUUUCUGCCCCUUUUUCAAUUCUACAGUCUCCUUUUUGAGAUGGAAGUGAAGAGGACCAGAGGUGAAAAAGCCAUCAGCUCACACAGUGGCGUCUGACACUGUGUUUUGUGCUGUUCCUUUCUUACUGUUUCUUAAUACUUAAUUUGCUUUUGCUUUAGAGAAUUGAAGAAAUGUUUUCAGAAAACUGUUAGCUGUAAUCGUUAGUUGCCUAAUUAUAGUCUGCUCAGAGGCUGCAAUUCUGUGUACAAAGAAUGUCAUUUUUCCAUGCUCAUUGCUUUCCACACACUUACAUUGAGUUUCUUGUGCUGCUUUUCCCAGUGGUCUGUUUCCCUCCUGCCCUAGACAACCCUUACACCUGCCUUUUCAACCUAUUUUUCAGGCUGCUUUUACAUGAGGCAGAUGGUAGUGGUCCCUCCAGGCCUCUACUUGUGAACUUCCUACUGUGAAAAAGCUUUAAUUGAUAUAUUUUCAUCUCUAUUUAUUCACAUAAGAAUUUUCUGUCUUCUUCCAUAAGUUUGCUUUCUGAAAUGAUGUCUGGUAAUCCAGGGUGAUUGUAACAGGAUUUCCAUUCCCUGCCUGAUGGGUGAUCACUUCAAGAAGGCCAACAGCAAUCCCGGGGAAGAAGGUCAAGUUAAGACCUGCGUUGGACUCCACAUCAUCUGCCUAUAGCUUCCUUUCUCCACUGAGGGAUGAAGCAGAUGUUCUUUAGGCAACUUACUAACAAAGCACUUACAGAGCUGUUCUCAUUGUGAUUUGUCCCUUGAUUAUUUGCUUUUUGCCUUUUUUGCCCUUACAGUUUUGUCUGCACAAGCUCGUGCUGUUCUUUUAGUUCUGUUCUCAUUACUUUGACCUAGUUUCCAGACCCUGUGCAACUUCAGAUGGGAGUAAGAAGCAAUGAAGCCACACUUCAGCAUUCAGCCACAUUUCCUCCAGUUCCUCUGCACAGGGAUAUUUUGAGCUUAUUCUCUCAGUAAUUUCUUUAUGGAACUGCCAGUUCUCCUGAAUGCUUUUUUCUUUCACACUUCCAAUCCAGGAGGGGGAAACUACCAUGUCUUCGACUGAAGUCUAUUCCAUUUUUCUGUUUUCCCUCUUUCCACUUUUGGAAUUAUAAAAAUCGCUCACUUAAUGGUUGCUCAUUCAAGUCGCUUUCCAUGUUCGUGUUCCAAAAGUCUCAUUCUUUCUUGAUGAAAAAAAAAAAAAUCUAGAAAUCUGCCUUCUCUUGUCCUUCUCCUUUUUCUUUUUCAAGAAAAAUAAUUUCCAAAAGCCUUUGAAGAGCUGAGGACAGUUCCUCAGCCUCAGCACUGUGACAAACAGCUGGCUUUUCUGACUUGCUUUGGUUAUGGAGAAAAGAUGGCUGAUGCUUUUUUGGGGGAGCUUCUAUAACUGCAGCCAGCUUAGCUGCACACUGCGGUUUCCAUAUAGCUCAGAACUGGGCUGACCACACCAGCAAAGAUCUCUGCUUCUGUGCUAAGCUGUUCAGCAAAUGUUUCUUCCACACAACAUUUUCAUUUCCUAUGAAAAAAAAAUAUAUAUAUCUUUGGGGGGCGGUGGAGGGGGGGAGGGUUAAAAAUGAAGCACUUUUUAGCUUUUUAGAAAAUGAACGUAGAGAACAGAAACUUGCUGUGAGAAGUUUGGUUAACAGAUUUUUCUCUUAUAAAAAGAGCAGAGCAAGAAAUCUGGGAGCUUGCACAGCUGGGUGAGCCAUGUAGGAUGGUUGGUUGAGCUCUAAGGCUGUUGAGAAACAGAGACUUUGUCAGCAGCUGAACAGAGGUGCAGAUUUCAGGAUACGACGGCAUUCCUGCUGCUUGCUGACUGUGCUGCUCCAGGAGCAGCUGGAUGGGCAGAGUGCAGUUUCUCAUGGAUCAAACUCUCAUGUUUGGAUACUCUGGUGCCUAAUAAGGUGUGAUAUCCAAUCCAACCAUUUCCCCUGCAGUUAGGGCAGACACAACAUUUUUUUCCCUUGUGUAUUUCGUAAUAGGGGAAGAACUCACACCACCACCUUUUCCUCCCUGGGGGCACCAAUAAGCACUCCCCCUCUAACUCAGGCAAAUGUGAAGGUAUUUACCAUGAUUUAAGACUGGCUACUGUCAAACUUCAUUAAAACUCUGGAAAUUGAAUCUUUAAUGAUCAAAGCGACAGAAGAGAUGGAAAUGAUGUUUGAAAUAGUUCAAAUUCUGUUUUCUUGCGAAGCCACUCUGAUAACAAAAAGAAAAAGAAAAGGUGAUUUCAAUUCCACGUGUUAUAGAAGAGCAAGAUGGGAAAAGGGCCCUUCUCACCUAUGAGCUUUUCAUGAGACGGUAUUGGGGACACUCCAAAGCACAGUGCAAUGCAAACCCAUGGGUAUCAUCAAACAUUUUCAGCUCAGAGUAAGGAGGGAUGGACCUUGCUCUUUGUUAGAACAUUAAGUCUCUGUGUGAGUGAAGGGACUUACCUUUCCUCUGUGGUUUUCUUGUCUUAUUUUGCUUACUUUCCGGCUGGCCGGAACCCCAGAUAUCUUUGAAGAGUUCCAGUGGGUACUGGGACACUCUGGAUACUGGGAAGAUGCUGCAUACACUGACAGGUUCAGAUGGUCUCCUUCCUACACUCUGGAUCCCAGCUUUAUUCAUUUACCUUUCUUGAGCUUUCUCCCUGGCCUGGGUACAUGAUGUCCCUUGGGCAGCAGCUAUCUUACAGCUUAUUUUUAGACAACAGCUUUUUUCCAUGAGGACAAAGGAGGAAAAGGAAAGGAUUUCUCCCCCCUUUGCCUCCUUAUAGUCUGGCCUAGAAGGUGUCUAAGAGAUGUUGGCAGCCACUAGCCUCAAGCCUUGGCAGGGCCCCAACCCACCAGCCAUUCCCUUCUGCUUCUUCCUCCACCAUUCCCAGAGCACAUUUUCUGUCACUUGGUAUAAAUUCAGGAUUCAUUUCUACCUUCAGCCCUGUAAACUCAUGCCAUUUAUAUCACAUCUUUGGAAGGCUCAGGUGAGUUCGCCAGCAGCCAUGGUGGGAGAACUUCUAAUAUUCAUCAGACCUUGCUUACCUUAGUAAUUCUUCCUCUCGGAAGAGUGAGACCAACAACCCACAUUCCUAAUGCACUUGUGGUCACUAAGGCAAGAAAUAGACUGAGAGGAGUGUUUAACUUGCACCCACUUCUUGGCAUAGCUGGAGGAUGUGCUUCCCAGGCAGGGAGAUAAAAGUCAGUGAGCAUGCAGCAGGCAUCCUGGCUGCUGCCUUUGAUCUCUGCCUUGCACUGCAGUUGUUAAACAGACUAUGGUGUUUGGUCUGGCCAGGACACAGCCCUGCUCUGGGGGCCUGGCUGGAAUGUGCUUGAAACCAUUUGGAACAAUAAGCAGUAGUUCAUGCCAGUUCAGACAGUGCUGGGCUGCACUCCAUCAAGGCAAGAGCUAGAGAUAUUAACUCUUGCAUGACUCCAAAUUACUUUGUAAAGGAAGAGUCCUGAAUUUUAAUUUAAUCCUUUGCUUCUUUAUGGCUCUCAGCUGAAUGGAGAACCACCACUGUGAGUAGCACUGAGCUGAAAACCUGAACUGGAAGUCACUGUACAAGCUUUCUGCUUCAGUUUUCCAUAGAGUGGGCACUACAUACUUCUUGCUCAGCCCUUGUUAUUGCAGAUCAUGGUCAUUUGUUAAAAUUCAGGCCAAGAUCUUAGAGAUACUUAAGGGUCACAGCUAGACUCUUGACAGUUUUAAGACUCCUCUAUUUCUUUGUGUAUAUAAAUCUAAAGCUAAAUGAUCCAGAUGGUGGGAUUCAGGAGCACACAGAGGAACAGCUGGCCUUUGCAACAGCACAAGUAAACUUCUAUGGGGAUGAGUAAGCUACAGGGUAUGUGGUAGAUUCUUCACAAUUCAUAAAAUAUCAUCUGAGCCUCUGUUUAAGGAUGGAGACUCUUGAGUAUUUCUAGGAAUCUGGAGCCUUAUGCACAGCCUAUGUGUGCAUCAUGUCAGAAGGUCCUGAACUAGUCUUGGCUCUUGGGACUGCUUGUGUAUUUAUCUUCUAAAUAUAAAAUACUUCAGACCACUGAGAAUCCCUAGCGACAGAGAGUGGCUUUCCAAAUACCUCUUUACUGUGUAAUGAGUGAUUCCGGUUCCGUGAGUUCAGGCCGAGCAGGGCCUGGUGCGCAGUGCUGUGUUGAUUGCCCUAAGCGCCACGCUGGCCUGCAACAGGAGGCCACAGCUGCUGUUUCUUCUAUUGGGGCUCCCUGUGAGGCUAUGAGGUGGUCACCCCGUGGUUCAGUGCCCUGUACAAAUGCUGCCUGUGACCAUUGUUUUCUAACAACCAGCUCAGCUUCAGGGAUCCUGAACAGAGGCACCGAGAGUCACACCAAGUGCUGAGAGACUGGACACUUAUCUUCUCAUAGAGUCAUGCAAUGGCUGAAGUUGUAAGGGUCCUCAAAGAUCAUCUAGUUCCAACCCAGUGAGCUGGAUGCCCUCCACCAGAUCAGGUUGUCCAGAAUCCCAUCCAAACUGGCCUUGGGCACCUCCAGGGAUGGGACACCCACAGCUUCUCUGGGCAGCAGUGCCAGGGCCUCAAUGCCCUCGGAGGAAAGAAUUUCCUCCUGACAUUUAAUCUAAGUCUCCCCUCUUUUAGUUUAGAGCCAUUCCUCCUUGUCCUAUUACUAUUAGACUGUGCAAAAAUGUGCUUUCCUGUUUAUAAGCUCCCCACAAUUACUGGAAGGCUGUAAGGUCUCCCCUGAGUCUUCCAUCUCCAGGCUGAACAUUUCCCAACUCUAACAACCUUUCUUCAUAGCAGAGGUGCUCCUGCCCUCUCAACAUCCUGCUGGUCUUAUUCUGGACCCACUCCAUCAGCUCCACAUUCUCCUUGUCCUGGGCAUCCCCAAUCAGAAUGCAGUACUCCAGAUGAGGCCUCAUAAGGGAAGGGCAGAGGGGGACAGUCCCCUCCCUGCCUCUGUUGAUACCAAAGUACUGCUGGCAUUCUGGGCUGCAAGCACACAGUGCUGGCUCACCCUGAGCUUUUCAUCCACCAGGACCCCCAAGUCCUUCUUCUUGGGGUUGCUUUCAGUGAGAUCUCCCAGUCUGUGUGCAUAUCUGGGAUUGCCCCAACCCAGCUGCAGCAUCUUGUACUUAACCUUGUUAAAUCUCAGUAGGCUCUUAUCGGCCCACUUUUAAAGCCUGUCCAGGUCCCUCUGAAUGACAUCCCUUCUUUCUGUUGCAUCACCUGCAUCACUCUGCUUGCUGUAAUCAGCAAACUUAACUGAGGGUACCCUCAAUCUGAUUGUCUAUGUCAUUGAUCAAGACGCUGAAAAGUCCAAAGGGGUCCCAAGAUAGACCCCUUCGAGACACUGCUCAUGCCCACCUCCACCUGACUUUUGUCACCUGUCAGAAAUACUCAGGUCUCUCUCUUUCCUGUGCUGAAACCCUAGGCACCCAUCUUCACCCUGAUGGGCUCAAGCAACAGCUAUCUUAGUUUUGGUAAUACUUACAUCUACACCUCGUGUAGGUCUCAGUAGAUCCCAAGAUCUUUGUUCAAUCAUUUUUUCCCUUGGUAGGGUGUACAUAGUUACAUGCUGAUUCCUGCAGAAGCAUGUGGGCCUAAAGAGACAAAAGUCACAGUGUGGAGCAGUGGGGAGAUCUCUAUCCCCCACUAGCCAAUGCACUGUUUAUCCUUAACCCUCCCAUAAUCUCAGUUUCGCACAUCUGGACCAGGCUGCACACCCAGAGAGAAGUGACAACACAGCCCCUGUGGUAUUUCAUACAGGGAAGACUGUCCCGAGGCCUGUCUACUUUCCUUGGGCUGAGCUUAGAGAAUUGGGAAGAGUGUCCAAGACAUCCCCGUCCCCAUCCUCAUGAAGAGUGCAGAAGGUUUGCUCACCACUGCUGCCUCUGCCCAGAUGUGCUCUUACCAGAUGUGUGCCUACACCAGGAUCCUAUGGAGAGUCUGUGACAGCAAGGGCAUAGAAACACAUGCUCACACCUUUCCAAUCAGCACCAGGUUAGAGUGAGAAGGCAGUGAAGAACAGCACUUUUGUGUAAGCUGUGUGGAUAUUUUAGGCUGAUGGGAGCAGAGGACUGAGAAAGGAAAGAGGAAACUUCCCUUGCAUCAUGGUCUCCUUGCAUCAUGGCUACUCUGGAAAGCAGCUGAAAUGCGGAUUAAAUGCAGAAGUCAUCCAGUCACCAGGAAAAUACAUGAACCCUGGCUGUAAGACGAAUUUACAACUCUACUCAUUGCUAUGCCAUUGACUCAUUUCUUCUGUUUCCCUUGGGUCUCCUGUCUGUGGCUAAGAUCUCUCGGAAGAAGCUAUCUGCCCAUAUGCGAUGCAAUAUAUCCUCAUCUCCAGAUGCAUCUUGUAAUAGUGACAGUGUGGGCAGCAGCCAGGCCCAGUCUGUGUGUGCUCUGGAAGGCUUUCACAGAGGAAAACAAAAGGGAUCUCAGUUUACAGUAAGACAGAUCCUUCCAAGCCCUCCGAAAAGAAAGCCAGUGCUCUUUGUUGUACAGUGCUACUCAGAGGAUGCAAAACUAAGUGAAAUGUCUGUGUCUUCCUCUCCAAGCUCUGAGCAAACUACAUGAAAUGGAGAGCUUAUACCCUGAUGACCUUCACGCUUCUUGCUCUCAGCUAGGUAUGUUUAACUGCAUAGCUGCUGCCUUCAGGUGUUAUUGCAAGAAUGCAAUACAGGCAUGCAACAGAUGGUGAUGUUUUCCUGCAGGAAAUAGUGUUUCUGCAGCAGACUUAACUUCCAUCUGUGGUCUUGUGGAACGGCGUAGCUCAUUAGCUUUCACUGAGGUGGGCUCUUGGACAUGGCUCUGACAUGAAUGAUUCUGCAGCUGCCUGGAAAAGCUCUGUUUAUUGCUACUGCCAUCCUGACGACUUCCUUUAGAAGUAUCUCAUUAUUUCACCCAUAUCUGUAGCUACACCCCACUCCAAAAAAUGGCUCCAGCAGUGCAUCGCCCUUCUUUGAUCUUUGUGCACAUCUCAAGAAAGCUGUGGAUGUAGCAGUUGUUCGGUACCUACUCAGAAGAGUGGAACAGCCUACUGGGGGGGAGAAGUGAUAGCAGGAAUCAGAAGCCUUUUCCUAUGUAAUUUAUAUUUCACUGUCUGGAUUUUUCCUUAAGAAAACAUUCAUUCUAAACUUAACUCUGAUGUGCAGACUCCUAGAUCCAUCUCUCUGCUAUUCUUGGUUCUCUUCUAAUGAACUUACCCAAAAGUUAACUCACAGAGAUGCUUGCUUUUGGGUGCAUUCAUUUCCCAAAGUUGUUCUGUGCACUCAUCGUUUGAGAGAAAUGCAAAACUACAUCACAUUAUAAGAAUGGAAUGAUCAAAGUGAUGUCCUAGCAGAACUAAAAUCAACUCAGUCUAUUUCCUGGGUGGUGAAGAGAAAAAGAAAUGAAUGUAAAAAUGUGAAAGAUAUUGGGUUUAGAAGAUGUGUGGCCCUGGUGGGGGGCAACCACUGGUGAGGUUGGGGGGGCUUUAAGUUCCCAGCCAACCAUUCUGUGAUGCUGUGCUUUACGAGAGCUGGGUCAUACCUGCAUGGCUGCAUUCUGAGAGCUUCCAAUCUGGGAAACUCAGGUGGUGGAAAAACUUUCCAGAUUGAACUCCAGAAUCAGCGAUGGGAUUUCCCCCCAUGUGACUUUCCAAUACUCGUGUAAAUGUCAGGCUGUGCUUUAACUGUGUCCAAAAAUGAUCUGCCUUUAACCUCGGUUUUAAUUCAAGCUAAUUUUAACAAAUGCCAACACUUCCCAUUGCUGUGGAGGUGGCUGUCCUUGGGCAUCCAGGCCAUACUCACAGGGUGCUCAGCCAUGAUCCAGUUCUGAAGGAUACCUCGCAGUGGGAACAGCAAGCAGCUCCAUGAAACUGCCCCAGCUGAGAUGGGAGAUGGUAAUACAGAGUGCCUACAUGGUACAAGUAUCUUCCAGUGCUGAACAUUACUCAAGAACUGGGCUUUCUCUCUAUAAGAGCCUUACUUCUCUGUAUCUCAGUUAACUGUAUUCUUAUUUUAAUUACUCCCACUCACAGAAGUUGACCCUCCUGUACCUUAGUUCCCCUGCCUUCUUGAGACACUUCUAACAACUGAAAUCCCAUGUUCUACUUUCUAGAUCCCUAAGUCAGAAGCUGUUUUGAGAAGUGAAUUACACACUGUUGUGACCAAUCCAGUGCUUUCACCCUUACAUUCCAUUAGGACUCCAAAACUAUCUACUGCUGCCUAAUUAUUGCUGAUCACUUUUCCCUCUUGUUUCCAAACUCUUCUACUGAAAUGUCACCUUAAUCUGGAUCCUCAUCUUUGCCCCUGCAAAAAAGGCUUUUGUCGUGGGAGCCUUCCCACGAAGGUCCAGCAGCUAUUUGGCAAGCUUUCCAUUGCAGUGUUUGAACAAAGAUUUACUCUUCGUGUCAUGUCAGUAAUAAGCUUCUUCUUGGUAUUUUCUUUUGCCAUCCCAUAUUGUAAUUGUAUGUAGAACGUGUCAGAGCAUAUUGUCUGCUUCUUUGUUGCUUCAUAAUCUUUUUUAAUUCUUUGGGAUUGCUCUAUUUACUCAGGCAUUUAAUAUGUCCCUCUAAACAACCUAUGAUUUAUUUACCAGCAUUUAUACACACAGCUGCUUCAUUUCAUUUCAUUUCAUUUCAUUUCAUUUCAUUUCAUUUCAUUUCAUCAACAGAGGUCUCGCUUUUUCCCCACUUAAAACUCGAGUGCUCUUGUGGUGGAUUUUCCUUCUUUUGGCAGAUUAUUAGGUUUAAAUAUGUCACAAGCAUUUACAGAGUGGCUUGCUUUCUCCAGUGGUUCUCAUCUCAUAUCCUCUUAGACUAUUGGCUUUAACAACCAGUUUACCCAUUGCCUCUAACAAACAUUUGGCUGUGGGGAUUCUAACAUCCUUUUCUAGCUGAAAGCAGCUGGUAAGAGAUCAUGUGCUGGAAUGUGGACACAACUAGGCAUUGAUUUUGAAUCUUCAAGCCAGAGGACUUCAACUUUUGCAAGUGCUCAAUGGUUCCUGCACUCAGUGGUACCUGCACUGAGUCCUGAUCUUGCCUCAUCACUGCUGACUGUUUUGAGAGCCCGCUGACAUCCUAAAAUAUGACAGUGGUACACAUAACCUUGAGAAAAUCAGCAAAUAAAGUGUUAAAGACAGAACUUUCUUCUUUCUGUGAAUGGCGUUCAGCUUUUUCUUCACUUCCCUAGGACAGAAGUUUUGCUCUUUAAUAAUCUAAGAUCUUUUUUUCCCCAACUUUGGAAUGCAACUGUAUUUAAAACAAACAAACAAACAAAAAUCAUAAUUAAUAUAUAAGAUGGUAAAUGGCAGCCCUUUACAGUCUAUUCAACUAUGUAGUAUUAAUAGUGUCAUUCCAUAACUGUCUGGAUAUUCUGAUCCACUCCUCAUCAAAUCACAGCCUUGUGAAGGAUACCAUACGCCGCUUUCUUUACCUUUCAGUUCAAAAAGUUACAGUUCAGGUUAUGUUAACUCUAUACUAUCAGAAAUAAUGGAAAACAAAAACUUAGAAAAAGCCUGGAGCAUGGCAGCUCCACUGUCUUAUGGCGAUGUGGCUCCACUGUCCUAUGUCCAUGGAGUUGCUAAUACUUCUGCACUGCUCUGAGACCUCUGCCCAAGUUCAUAGAAUGAGCAUACGAAGCUUGUCCAGGGCCUUUGAAAUACACAUUAUUUCCUGUCACAUCCUGUGACUCAGUCCUGAAUUUUUUAUCUGAAGAAUAAAAACACGCUAUAACAGUUUGCUUUUAAUUUGUAGCCUGCAGCUGUCGGAACAUUUAUUUAUAUCAGGGAUUUUUGUAGAGAACUAUUAAAAAUAAGAGCAGGUUUUCUUGAAAUUGACUUUUUAUAUGAAGGAGUUAAUGAAUGUGUUUUGUUCUGAUCAUUGUAUGUGAAAUGUAUUCUGGCUGCCUGGAGAUCUCUGAAAAAAGAAGAAAAGUAAAUACCUGAUUGUUCAGAAAGUGACCCCAUUAUCACACCAUGUGCCUGUUUUGUAAUGGCAGUAACAUCAGAAGAGGAAUCAUAAUUCAGGACAAACUGUCCAAAAUACAGAGCAUAAAAUCCACCACUGAAGUCCCUCUUCUGAGUGAUAUUUCAGGUGAAGACGCCACCCCUUGCUAUCUUUCACAACAAGUAUUUUGUAGGAACACAAAUUCUUUAUGAUGAGAACUUAUCCCCUGCUGAGCUGUGGGCUUUGUGAUGGAGCAGUAUAGAAGUCUUAACAUUUUGAGUGUAUGGGAACAUGUCCCACUGAUCAAACCAUUGAUGUCUGAUGCAGUGUGAUGUGAUCUUGGCAACUCUCCUGUCCAUAGUCAGAAGGAAUGUUCAUUUUCAGGAAAAAAAAAAUACAACAAAAACCAACACAGUGCUGGCAGGCUCUGCUGCCCUGACGUUGGCUGAAUGCUGUGUAUGUGCACUCAUGAUGGCACAACACUCUGCCUGUAGAGUCCUACCAGGGAAGGAUUCUUCACCUUUGUUUCUCUCCAUGGAGAUAGACCCAAAGGCAUAGGAAAAAAGUAAAUAAGUCAUCAGAUAAACCAAGAAAAUGGCAGAGCUGCUGGCACGGAGCUCCUGUCAUCUGGGAUUGGUCAUCUCUCCACUGGUCAGAGAAGGAGCAUGAAAUAGAAAUGCCUAGAGUGCAUACAGGUGAUGAUCAUGACUCUUUCCCACUACCUGUGCACUAGAGAGGACUCAGGCAGUUAAGGCAAUCAAAUGCAGAAAAGGAAAAUAAUAAACAGGAGCACACUGUGUGAAAUUCAGCCUGCUUAUCUGUGAGAUCCGUGCAUCUGCCAGUCUCCCAAGACAGCCUAAAGAGCUCCGGUACAAAUCUGCAGUUCAGUGCACCAUGUUCAGCAGUGCCUGGGCUACAACCUCCACCAGCUGGUUGUCUGUGAAUGCUGUGGCACCAGCCCACAUCACUCAUCUUACAGCUGCAGAAAGAGCUCAAGGCUUGUGUUUGCACCCAGUGGCUGCACCACUCCCCCAACCAUCUGGUGAGGCUGGAUUGGCCCGACAAUUGCUGGGCAUGGUUGCCUACAUCCAGUUGGCGUAAGUGGCUCUAUGGAAGGGACAUCAAUUUGCUCAGUGAGCAGUGCACUGUUUCUGGCUCCUGGCCCAUGCUGUGUCUGGAACAGGGCUUGAUUUGCCUCUGAAUAACAGCACACAGGGUCAGAGACAAAAUGAAUUUAUCGUCCUCUGUAAGAAAGUGAGUAAAGAAAGUGGGGAAAGGAAAAACUGUGGGGAUGUUUGGCACGAGGCUGCUGAGCCUUGGCAGUUGGCUUGGGCUGCGCUGGGAAGAGGCGUGGGACCAAUGGAGUCAGCGUGGGGAGCAGAGUGGUGGGUGGGCUCUGAGGGCCAGGAGGGGAAAUGAAAGCGGAGAAUGUAUGCAAAGAAAGAGGUUUGUUUUCUGCCAACACUGCUACCUGCGAAGGUCCAUCCUGAAGUGCCAUUGCUACCAGCGGUGUGCGGCACAACUGAGCACAGCCAUCAGAUGGACGAGACGUGGGGGGGAGAAGCGGAACACAUUUCCUGGCAGCUCAGCAGAGCACCUCAAACAAUCGCUGGGACUGGAAGAGCUGAGCAGACACCGCUGGCACACGGCAUUACAAUGGGUCCCUGUUCUGCUCGGCCCCGUCAGCAGGCAGGGAGGCCUGAGCUCUCCAGCUCUCCUUUAUUUGGUAAAACUUAAUGGGAUUUCAUUCCCGGCUUGUUCCAAAAAAACUGCUUGCAAUUUUCCUUCCCAGAUUAUCCCCUCCUCCAAAACAAAGAACUCCUUGUGCAUUUGGAGAGUCCAAGGGAGGGGCUGUGCUGAGCCUGCACUUUCAACUAGGAAGACCCCAGAGCUGUAUGGACAGAAGGACAGACCCGUACUGAUAUUCCCAGCCCACCACAUUGUCCUCUCUCUGCAGCGUCCUGUUACUUUCGGGAGUGCACUGUCAAAUCUGCAGCUGCUCAUCCCUGCUAUUUUCACAGAAUAUUGUAAGAGAAGGGCUGCUGAAGCAUUCUGGCCAUGCUGCAGAUUGCAGAGCUGUGGAGUGGCAGUGACCAGCAGAGGGUGAACUUGUGAUGCUCUUUCCUGAAACCAAACCUUUCUCUGACUUAAAGUACCCUCAUUUGGCCUUCAGUUUUGCUGAAUGAUACAGCUACAAAUGAAAAAAAAAAAAAGUGCAGAAUUCCAUCUGAUAAG